CAUUGAAGUCCACAGACAUUCAACGCACGUAGCAUUUCGUAGCAACCCAGAGAUUAGUACCCUCGUAAAACCCUCGUCUCCAUCUUCCCCAAUUUCCAUCAAACCAACAACUGCACUGCUAAAAUGGCUUGGCGCUCAUCUGGAUCUCUAUCUCGCUCCCUCAUUUCCUCUGUUAGGGCUUCUUCUCUCCGGUCCGCUCCUUCUCUUCCUCGCCUCCGCCCGCCACCUCUCGCCGCUCGACCUCGCCCUCAAUCUCGUCGCCUUUCUUUUUCGACUUCGAGGAACUUGGGAGAACUGGGAUGCACACAGUCUCUUCUGCCCAUGCACAGCAUCAUGGGUGCUACCUGCUUGACAUCCCACCUAUGUGUUAGCGCACGAGCUUUUUGCGAGCUGUCUCAUGGUACCUUCUGCCGUACUUGUCAGGAUCGCUAGUAUCCUCUUUGAAGGAAUGGAAAAGAUGGGUGAUGCACGAGGACAUUCUAUCAUUCAAAAGCGGGAGACUGUCGCAGCACUUGUACUUGAGUGAUCUCCAGUAGAAGCACACAUGUGAGCAAUUCUAUGUGGGGGUGAAGUUGAGUAGAGAGAGAGAGAGAGUUUCUGGUAACUUUAUUAGGUAGAUAGAUGCAAUAAAACAAUUUCUAGCUGUUCCAGGAAUUAAUCCUUCGGUUUGCGUGUGGAUUCCCCAAAAUUAUCAAUUAUUAUCUGACCUGGUUUGUUUCUUCUGGGCCUGAAUUUUGUAACUAUACUUUCAUACCUGUUACUGGAUUUACAAUCACAAUAUGAAAUUUUUCUUUCCAUUA